rnacentral:rRNA from 1 species
GAUGAACGCUGGCGGCGUGCCUAAUACAUGCAAGUCGAGCGAACGGACGAGAAGCUUGCUUCUCUGAUGUUAGCGGCGGACGGGUGAGUAACACGUGGAUAACCUGCCUAGAAGACUGGGAUAACUUCGGGAAACCGGAGCUAAUACCGGAUAAUAUUUUGAACCGCAUGGUUCAAAAGUGAAAGACGGUCUUGCUGUCAUUUAUAAAUGCAUCCGCGCUGCAUUAGCUAGUGGGUAAGGUAAUGGCUUACCAAGGCAACGAUGAAUGACCGACCUGGGGGGGUGACGGCCCACCCUGGAACUGGGACACGGCCCGGACUCCUACGGGGGGCGCAAGUGGGGAAUUUUGGGAAAUGGGGGAAAGCCUGACGGAGCAAGGCCGCGUGAGUGAGGAGGGUCUUCGGAUCUAAAAACUCGUUUAUUGGGGAAGAACAUUUGUGUAAGGAAAUGUGCACAUCGUGACGGUACCUUAUCAGAAAGCCACGGCUAACUACGUG